rnacentral:rRNA from 1 species
AGUGAACGCUGGCGGUAGGCCUAACACAUGCAAGUCGAACGGCAGCACAGUAAGAGCUUGCUCUUACGGGUGGCGAGUGGCGGACGGGUGAGGAAUACAUCGGAAUCUACUUUUUCGUGGGGGAUAACGUAGGGAAACUUACGCUAAUACCGCAUACGACCUACGGGUGAAGGCAGGGGAUCUUCGGACCUUGCGCGAUUGAAUGAGCCGAUGUCGGAUUAGCUAGUUGGCGGGGUAAAGGCCCACCAAGGCGACGAUCCGUAGCUGGUCUGAGAGGAUGAUCAGCCACACUGGAACUGAGACACGGUCCAGACUCCUACGGGAGGCAGCAGUGGGGAAUAUUGGACAAAGGGCGCAAGCCUGAUCCAGCCAUACCGCGUGGGUGAAGAAGGCCUUCGGGUUGUAAAGCCCUUUUGUUGGGAAAGAAAAGCAGCAGGUUAAUACCCCGCUGUUCUGACGGUACCCAAAGAAUAAGCACCGGCUAACUUCGUG